rnacentral:rRNA from 1 species
UACGGGGGGAGCAAGCGUUGUUCGGAUUUACUGGGCGUAAAGGGCGCGUAGGCGGCCACCGCAAGUCAGUUGUGAAAUCUCCGAGCUUAACUCGGAAAGGUCAACUGAUACUGUGCGGCUAGAGUGCGGAAGGGGCAACUGGAAUUCUUGGUGUAGCGGUGAAAUGCGUAGAUAUCAAGAGGAACACCUGCGGCGAAGGCGGGUUGCUGGGCCGACACUGACGCUGAUGCGCGAAAGCCAGGGGGGCGAACGGG